rnacentral:rRNA from 1 species
UACGUAGGGGGCAAGCGUUGUCCGGAAUCAUUGGGCGUAAAGCGCGCGUAGGCGGCCACGCACGUCCGUUGUGAAAUCGCCCGGCUCAACUGGGCGGGGUCGGCGGAUACGGCGUGGCUGGAGCAAGCUAGGGGGCAAUGGAAUUCCCGGUGUAGUGGUGGAAUGCGUAGAUAUCGGGAGGAACACCAGUGGCGAAGGCGGUUGCCUGGAGCUUUGCUGACGCUGAGGCGCGAAAGCGUGGGGAGCGAUCCGG